UUUACUUAGCAGGUGACACUUGCUUCUAAAUAUUUCCAACAAAGUUUGAUUCAUGUAAAAAGGAACACGUUGGCGGACAACAAUAACAUCAUCUGUGACCAUCAAGCCUUUGAGCUCGGCAUUGUUCUAGACUCUUCAGCUUCCAUCUUGCCGGAGGACUUUACAAAAGGCAUCAAGUUUCUUCAAGACUUUCUGAAGCGAUUUGACAUCGGCAUUGACAAAGUGAGGGUGGCUAUCGUAGUUUAUUCCAAUAACCUACAUUUGGAGGUAAGAGCGGAAAUCUUGUAGAUCAGCGUCCCGUGCUUACAAAAUGCCGAUAAGAAUAAAAUGUAUUUAAUUUAAUAGAUGUUAAAUAGUGUUUUUUUUAAUUGGUUGUAAGAAUUAAUCUUUAUAUUUAGACUAUACAUCAAAAAAGUGCCAUAGCGACUUCAAUAUUAUCUGUGCGCUGCCAUUU
rnacentral:sRNA from 1 species